rnacentral:tRNA from 2 species
GGACCAAUAGCUCAGUUGGUUAGAGCACUGUGUUGAUAACGCAGGGGUCGUAAGUUCGAGUCUUACUUGGUCCACCA